rnacentral:rRNA from 1 species
AGCAGCCGCGGUAAUUCCAGCUCCAAUAGCGUAUAUUAAAGUUGUUGCAGUUAAAAAGCUCGUAGUUGAAUUUCGAGACCGGUCUACUGGUCGUGCUUUUGUACGUACUGGUAUAAUCGGUUUCUCUCUUCUGACGAACUAUAAUGCCAUUAAUUUGGUGUUUUAGGGAAUCAGGACUGUUACUUUGAAAAAUUAGAGUGUUUAAAGCAGGCUCACGCUUGAAUACAUUAGCAUGGAAUAACGAAAUAGGACGUUUGAUUCUAUUUUGUUGGUUUCUAGGAUCGACGUAAUGAUUAAUAGGGAUAGUUGGGGGCAUUAGUAUUCAAUUGUCAGAGGUGAAAUUCUUGGAUUUAUUGAAGACUAACUACUGCGAAAGCAUUUGCCAAGGAUGUUUUCAUUAAUCAAGAACGAAAGUUAGGGGAUCGAAGACGAUCAGAUACCGUCGUAGUCUUAACCAUAAAUUAUGCCGACUAGGGAUCGGAUGAUGUUAAAUUAAUGACUCA